AAAAAAGAAAACAAGUCAAAGAAGAAACUUCCUUUUUCCCACUUUUCUUUUCAGCUAGGGUUUGAAACCCAUCACCGCCGACACCAUUGCGAUACCGCCGUGAGUGGUGGUUGAGGGCGCACAGAUCCGACUCCCUUUUAUGCCCUUUUCAAACCUUUUCCCCUCAUUUUUUUGUUAAAAAAAAAUCUAAAAGGAAAACUAGAUCUAGAGAGUUUAAAACGGGAUUAAGGGGAAAAUGUGUGAAUCAUGGAGGAAACGCCUUCGUUUUCGUGGCCUUUUCUGACCUUGUCGGAACCCAAAUGGGUUCCACGACGUUUGGGUUGCCGGAGACCCCCCAUCGACGACCGAAUACGCGUCAAGGUCUUUGGAAGCGAUGGGACGAAGCCAGGGAGUGGUUGAGCCUCGAGCGUUGAAUGCGCUGACCAGGCACGUGGGGAGCGGCGCAUACUGCUGCUAGGUUUUUUUUUUCUAUUUCUGCUUUUUUUUUUCUUUUUUGGGUUAUGGGCUUGUAAAAUUUUGGGCUAGGGUAGUGUUUGGUUUGAUUUGGGCUUGUUGGUAUUAAGGCCCGGUCAAAUUUGGGCUUUUACAACAUUUUAGUUACUUAUGUUUAAAAUGUUACAUUUUAGUCACUUACAUUAUCGUUUUGUUAUGAAGUGAUCACUCUGCCGUUAAA